UUUUCCCUGCUAAGUGCGACCAUUGCAGCUUUUAUAACCCAACACACUUUAAAUCGGAAGCUGAUCUCCGUUUCUGGUCUGCAGACCUCCCGAUCACAGAUCGGACGAAGGGAGCGUAAAGGAAGCGGGAGGCAUCCACCUGCUUUUACCUGCAGGUUAUCAUCAGCUGCAAACCGGCUCGGCGGGGUUAUU
rnacentral:other from 1 species